rnacentral:siRNA from 1 species
GGCGUUAUUAGGCGGUGAGGUAG